CCAUCCUAGUACUACUCUCGC
rnacentral:snRNA from 1 species